rnacentral:rRNA from 1 species
ACGGGGGAUGCAAGCGUUAUCCGGAUUUAUUGGGUUUAAAGGGUGCGUAGGCGGUUUGAUAAGUCAGCGGUGAAAUAUUUCAGCUUAACUGAAAGGGGGCCGUUGAUACUGUCAGGCUUGGAUAUGGGUGCUGUGGGUGGAACGUGUGGGGUAGCGGUGAAAUGCUUAGAUAUCUCACAGAAUAUCGAUUGCGAAGGCGUCUCACAAAGCCAUUAUCGACAGUGAUGCACGAAAGUGUGGGGAUCAAACAG